UAUUUAUUUAUUUAUUUAUUUAACAGUCCAGAUCCAUUUUCUGGCUCCUGCACUACCUCGUCUUACCUCAUAAGACAACCUUCACAUCUUUGUGUUACUCGUCUGCGCUCUCCUCCAGAUAAACAGUUAUCGCACCGGUCGCAGACGCUCCUUUAACACAGCCGUGGCUGUUUGUUUUAACAGAGGACGGGGACGAAGGUUCCGAUUAUCUAAAGAACAUCUCUAACAUUCGUCUCGUCCAGAGAACCCUUAUCGUCCCACUGUCGCAGAGAAUCCACCAAUCAUUCGGACACCUCUUACACACACUACGCUCAGAUAAACGAGAACUGAUCUGAGAUAUGCUGUGAGAUAUAUUAUUAGCGAUCAUCAGCAAGGCCGCUUCCGUACUCGUAAUCAGCUUUCACACAGACCGGAACGUUCUUGUCAAAAUGGCGUCCUUUAAGCGGCACUCCGUUAUAGUGCCUACACGACUUUCCGUGAAGAUUUUCGUCCAACAACGAAAGAGAAUGAUCGUUUAAGAAUGACGAAGAUACAAGUGAAUAUUUUAAAAGUGAAUUAAAGGAUUAUUUUUGGAACCCCCUGCAGAGAUAUGCUGUCUUGGAUGGUUGGAAAUAUGAAGCAGCGGCUCUAUAAAUAAAUCAGAAAUGCGUGCGAACCACCGUUAACUUAUUUCCCUUGCAAAGACUGAGGAAAGGAAGAAAAAUGAGUCUCUCUUUGGGAUAGCUUCAAGGCUUUUGUGCAAUUUUUUGAGAUGUAGUGGGAUGCGGUUCUUGACUAAACCUGGCAACCAUGCCCUGCAUUAAAGAAACAAAUUUCCCGGACCCGAUACCUAGUCUGAAUGGUUAUUCUUAGCUUUCUUAUCUCCUGAUAAGAAAUUAUUCCAUGUAGAACGCUUUUAGGAGGCUAAGAACCAAUAAAGAACCCUUGUACCAAGUACCAAGAGUUAAAAAAAAAAGGGUUCUAGAUAUCAGGAAGUAAAAUACUGAGCAAUAAUUUGGAGUUUGUACCGGCCACACACUGAUCCAGUUAAUACACACACUUUUAGGAGCGAGGGUUCUUCAAGUGUUCUUUAAGGGUUUACUGGAUAAUUAAGGGUUCUUAGCGUCCAACAAAGCAUUCUAAAUUCUACAUUUUCUGACAAGGAAACACUUUGUUUUAGGGACCUACAUAGAACCUUUAAGGGAUCCCUUAAUGAGGAUAACGCAAGAAGCUCUACACCAGAGUUUCCCUAUAGGAAAUGGUUCCAAGUAGAACCCUUUUAGGAGGCCAAGAACCCUUAAUUACCUAUAAAUCCAUUAAAGAACCCAUUUUUACAAGUUCUGACAGGUUCUAGGUAUUAAGAACAAAACAAUGUGCAAUAAUUUGGUAUUUAUAUUACAGUAGGGUUCUUGUUAGCUUUCAAAAAAAAAAAAAAGGUUCUACCAGGAACACUUUGUUAUAAGGACCAAUAUAGAACCUUUAAGGGUUUCCUUAAUGGGGAAUAAACAAGGAGCUCUACAACAGAGUUUACACACACACACACACACACACACACACACACACACACACACACUGGGUCUCUGUGGGUUCUUUAAGGAGUCACAGGAUAAUUAAGGGCUAUUAACUUCCAAAAAGGGAUCUACUUGGUUCUACUUUCAUUGCCGAGAGUACAACACUCUUAAAAAUUCUUCAUUUGUCCCUUUAGGAGGAACCCUUAAAGGUUCUCUGAGGAAUUCUACACCAGAGUGUUUUCCUUAUCAGACACUGGUCGAGUAGAACCCGUUUAGUAAGCUGAGAACCCAUAAUUACCCAUCAAACCGUCGACAAACCAAGUAGCAAAAGUUAAACUUUCAACAAAACAAUGAGCAAUAAUUUGUAGUUUGUUUUCUAAAAGGGUUCUCAAAGGGUUAAUGAAUGGUUUAUUGGAUAAUUUAGUGUGCUUAGCUUUCAAAAAAAAUAUAUUUACCCAUAAUCAAAUAAUAAUAACGAAUAAUAAUUUCAAAAAUGAUGAUCUCUACUUCAUGUGUUCAACUGAAUUUGAAAAAGGUCAUGUUUGACCUUCUGGAUUAUUUAUUAUUUCUAACACAGGAAUGAGUAAGGCAAGGAGUCACAAGGUGAGGACCUGACUCAGGUGUAACUCAGUCUUCUGAUUGGUCAGAAGGUGUUGAUUACAGCAGGUGUUGGUGGGGUGUUGGUGGGGUGUUGGUCAGAAGGUGUUGAUUACAGCAGGUGUUGGUCAGAAGGUGGUGAUAACUGAUGUCUGACAGGCGCACAGCUUAUAUUAAUGCGUUGUUUUUCACUCCACGUGAAUGGAUUUGUUAAAAACGUGUAUGUGAGAGUUUGCUUGUAUUUUAUCAUUUGUAAGUUGCUUUGGAUAAAAGUGUCUGCUAAAUAAAUAAAUGUCCAUGUAAAUAAA
ensembl:lncRNA